UCCAAUCUGUGCCAAGGACCUGAGAA
rnacentral:piRNA from 1 species